rnacentral:rRNA from 1 species
CGAACGGGUGAGUAAUACAUAAGUAACCUGCCCUAGACAGGGGGAUAACUAUUGGAAACGAUAGCUAAUACCGCAUAGGUAUAUGAUUCGCAUGAAUGAUAUAUUAAAGAUGCUUCAAAGCAUUGGUAGAGGAUGGACUUAUGGCGCAUUAGCUAGUUGGUAAGGUAAAGGCUUACCAAGGCGACGAUGCGUAGCCGACCUGAGAGGGUGACCGGCCACACUGGGACUGAGACACGGCCCAG